UCAGAACAAGUGGUGGCUGUUUCCUGUUCCUUCCCCCAUUCCCAGCCAUUCCUUUUCCUGCCAGGAGGCCACAGCAGGGCAGGAACACCCCCACCUUUCCCCAGGUCUGCCCCUGGAUGCUGUGCCCUGCCCUCUGCAGCAACGGAAUUCCGAUGGUCUAAGAGUCUGCAGUCAGCUCUGCGUAUUUAUUUGUUUAAAAAAGCCACAGUCAACUGAGAGCUGACACAACCCCAGUGAAAUCAGCUGCUGUACUGACAAAGGAGAGACUGCUUAACAUUUGUCCACGGCAGUGACAGUUCAGGAAGCAUCACCGGUGAUCGGAAGAGACUUUUGACAUGUAGAAGGUGUAUAUUCCCUAUAUUCCCUGGGUGAUGCAACAGAUGGCAGGAAAGAUCUGCCUGCUUCUUUAAUGAAGUAUUCAUAUUCAGGCUUCAUGGCUGAAUUAUUUCAUAGGCUUAUAUAUAAUUUUUAUUAUUUUAAGAAUAUGUCUAUGUUAAAUUAGCUACAUACAGUCCUUUAGGUUGAAAUGAGUCUGGCUGAAGAGAAGCAAUCAUACGGACUGAUUCCAGAUUCUUAGUUCAGUUUGAUGUAUUAUAAUUAGCUGAUGAGAUUUCACAUAAUUGCUUAUUUAAUGUAUAUAAUAGUACAAGUGAUGACUUAGCUCAUGACUGUUGCACAGAUACUCACGUUUAGAGUCAAGCAAGAAGAACUUCCUCUGCUAAUGCCUGUGUAUGGAGAUAAAACCUGGAUGUGAAGGCACCACGAGGUCAUACCCAGCAUAACCAAUGGCCAGUGUACCAGGCUGAGUGUGGCAUUUUACCCAAAAUACUGCAGAGGAUUUGGGAGAAUGAGCUUUCUAAAUUGAAGCAGGGGUCCUGUGGGUUGAAAUAAACCCUGAUAAUACAGGCUUGAGCACUGUUAUAGCCCAAAGUGGCAGAAACAAGCAAUGAGAAGGAAAGAUGUUCCUUCCUGUGUGCUCUGUGGCUUGACCAGCUGCAUAAGGAACAGAAAGGGAGAGUCACCAUCCACUCUGGUGCUCAAGCACAGCCAGGGGAAGACAAUGUGCCCAGUAAAAAGGGACUCUCUCUUGGAAGAGAGCAGGAACAGGCCUGCCUGAAGCACAGCUUAAAUAUUGGAUGAGUUUUUAAUACAAAAUAGGAAGUGAGUCUUGAAGAUCAUAAAGACUGAUGGAGGAGUCAGAGUACAUCCAAGUCUUUUGGCAUACGUGGAAAUGCUGUUUGAAUUUCUUACCCCACUACAUGAGCAACGAGACUUCACACGUCUAAGGCAUUUUUUCCCCAGUGUUUUGUGAUUAUUUGACCAACUUUACAGCAUGUUGGGUAUGGAAUCAUAGAAUUGUUAGGCUGGAAAAGACCUUCAAGAUCAUCGAGUCCAGCCACUCCCCAGCACUGCCAAGGCCACCAUUAACCCAUGUCCCCAGGUGCCACAUCCACAGGAGAAGAUAAACAGGUUCCUUGAGUAGAAACAAAGAUCUGCCUAAAAUGUGCCAGUGUUUCCAUUGUGGCCAGUGUUUCAAUUCUAGUUCUUUUAGGAAGACUUUACAAGAAUAGUAAAAAACAGGAACAACCUAUAAUGUAAUUUUUAAGAGACCUGUCAGCAUAGUUUCUGUUUCAAUGCCAGCUAGAGAUGGGGGCAUAAAAUGUUUCUAUAGCCUGCAAAAGGGGACUCCCAAUACACUGCAUGAGGGAUUUAGGCAUCACUGGUGUAUUUGGCACAAAAUAUCAAAUUGUGUGUAUGGACUUCACAGCUGCAGACACCUGGUUUUCAAGACAUCUCUGAUUCCAAGUUGAUGGUAUGACAUAUACUAUAUAUGACUGGCUUGUUUUUAUAUAAACACUGUAAAAGUAGAGAGAGUCACCUAAGAGAAGGAUGGUAUUUGUUAUUCAAUAAAAUGGAGUAAAA